UCAAAGAAAAAGGAAAAGGAGAAAUAAAUCUUCUCUCCACCCCCUUCUAAAGUAACAUGGGUCACACACCCCUUUUUUCAUCGCCUGUGGAAGGGAAGGUGGAACUGAAGGAACUCUGGCCAACCUCCUCACAGCUCCCUGGUGACAGCCAGCAUCCCACAAUGCUCUUGGAAAGCAUGUUCACGCCCAUCUGCGGGCCUGGAGGAUCCAGGCUUCAGACUUGAAAGCAUUCCAGGACGUGAGCUCAGAAUUCAUUCCUGGUGACUGGGGAGAUCUUCAGAGAUGUUCAUGUUGGGGCAUGGGCAAGAGGGAGCUGGUGAGGCGAAACGCUCAGCUCUGCAGGCCAGCUCCCAGCUGGAGGUGGGUCAGCACCAUGGACAGGGCCGGGCUGGUAGAGGGAGGCGGGCCUAGAGCAGCUGGCUAAGAGCUCACUAAGCCCACCCAGCACACAGGGCUGGCUGCCUUCGGCAUCUCUGGAGAG